rnacentral:rRNA from 1 species
GUGGGGAAUAUUGGACAAUGGGCGAAAGCCUGAUCCAGCCAUGCCGCGUGUGUGAAGAAGGUCUUCGGAUUGUAAAGCACUUUAAGUUGGGAGGAAGGGCAGUAAGUUAAUACCUUGCUGUUUUGACGUUACCGACAGAAUAAGCACCGGCUAACUUCGUGCCAGCAGCCGCGGUAAUACGAAGGGUGCAAGCGUUAAUCGGAAUUACUGGGCGUAAAGCGCGCGUAGGUGGUUUUGUAAGUUGUAGGUGAAAUCCCCGGGCUCAACCUGGGAACUGCCUCCAAAACUGCAUGACUAGAGUACGGUAGAGGGUAGUGGAAUUUCCUGUGUAGCGGUGAAAUGCGUAGAUAUAGGAAGGAACACCAGUGGCGAAGGCGACUACCUGGACUGAUACUGACACUGAGGUGCGAAAGCGUGGGGAGCAAACAGGAUUAGAAACCCGGGUAGUCC